rnacentral:rRNA from 1 species
UACGUAGGUGGCAAGCGUUGUCCGGAUUUACUGGGCGUAAAGAGCGCGCAGGCGGUCAGAUAAGUCGAAUGUGAAAGCCCCCGGCUCAACUGGGGAGGGUCAUUCGAUACUGUUCGACUCGAAGGCAGGAGAGGGAAGCGGAAUUCCCGGUGUAGUGGUGAAAUGCGUAGAUAUCGGGAGGAACACCAGUGGCGAAGGCGGCACUCUGGGCCGGAACUGACGCUGAGGAGCGAAAGCGUGGGGAGCGAACAGG